rnacentral:tRNA from 1 species
UGUCCUAUUAGUUUAAAUUAAAAUUUUAGAUUGUGGUUCUAAAGAUCUUUUUGAGGUUGGACUG